GGUUUUUAGGUUUACAACGUGAAGCCACAAGUCGACCUGAUUGCAUCAAACAUAAAACCGUUUGAAAUUUUCUCCUCUGAACGCUUCCUGAAGACUUCAGAAGAAGAAGGAAGCAGCUUCGAGUGAAGAGCAUGAGGCUUCGUUAUCUCACAGCAGGAACGACUUUUAGCAGCAGAAAACCAGAAACAAGCAGCGAGAGACAUGAACAAACGCAAACUGAGUCUGAAAUGGUUCGGGAGCCUCAGCAACCUCUCCACCCGCCGCCAGCCGGGCAAGGCCAGCAUCAAAGCCUCCCCGGGGCCCGACAUCAGCCUCAGCGGGGCCAAACCAGCAGCAGGGCUGGGGGACGAGUCGGUGGAUGACCUGGAGUCCUGCCUCCGGAGCCCCGGCUACGCCCGGUCCAGCGACAUGUACACCCACGUGGGCACCGUGCCCCGAGGAGAGAGGCAGAGGAAGAAGAGCUGCAGAGGGCCGAGAGACAAGAAGAAGAAGAAGGAGGAGGAGGAAGGGAUGGACGGAGGGCAGAGCAGGAGGAUGGACCACGUCAGAGACUCCCCCCUGCUCGGCGCCUUGUCCAGCCUCAGUCUGAGCAGCAUGGAGGCUCCUCAGCCGGCCUCGGCCCGGCCGCUGCCCGCCACCCCCUCACCCAGCCGGGCUCCAGCUCCAGGUAGCUCCAGGGCUCCUCCGGUGGAUCCUGUUAGCAGCCAGGAGGCUUUAAAGAGGAAAAACACUGCAGAAAGUGGAGGAGAAGCUGCAGCUAAAAGCCCCAAAGCGACGGCGACCCAGGAUCUGUACGUACCGAUGGACCCGAUAUCUGAAAGCGAGAGGCAGCGAGGCGUCACGUGUUCACAGGAAGAGCAGAGCGACGGAAGGCCUCAGGAUGUGACCUACGGCGGUGGAGAAUAUGUCAAAACACAAAAGGACACCACUGAGCGAUGGCCGUGUGGCACAAUGACGUUGCCGUGGCGACGAGGCUGAGACUCC
ensembl:lncRNA